UACAGAGGGUGCGAGCGUUGUUCGGAAUUAUUGGGCGUAAAGCGCGUGUAGGCGGUGAUGCAUGUCGGGUGUGAAAGCCCUCAGCUCAACUGAGGAAGUGCGCCCGAAACUGCAUCGCUGGAGUGCCGGAGAGGAAGGCGGAAUUCCCGGUGUAGAGGUGAAAUUCGUAGAUAUCGGGAGGAACACCAGUGGCGAAGGCGGCCUUCUGGACGGACACUGACGCUGAGACGCGAAAGCGUGGGUAGCAAACGGG
rnacentral:rRNA from 1 species